AAGGAGAGGAGAAUGUGGGAUGGAGAGGGAGAGAAAGGAGAGAAAUAAUGGGGAUGGAGAGGGAGAGAAAGGAGAGGAGAAUGUGGGAUGGAGAGGAGAAUGUGGGAUGUAGAGGGAGAGAAAGGAGAACGUGGGAUGGAGAGGAAGAGGAAGGAGAGGAGAACGUGUGAUGGAGAGGAAGAGAAAGGAGAGGAGAAUGUGGGAUGGAGAGGGAGAGAAAGGAGAGGAGAAUGUGGGAUGGAGAGGGAGAGAAAGGAGAGGAGAAUGUGGGAUGGAGAGGGAGAGAAAGGAGAGGAGAAUGUGGGAUGGAGAGGAAGAGGAAGGAGAGGAGAAUGUGGGAUGGAGAGGGAGAGGAAGGAGAGGAGAAUGUGGGAUGGAGAGGGAGAGGAAGGAGAGGAGAAUGUGGGAUGGAGAGGGAGAGAAAGGAGAGGAGAACGAAGAGAGGAGAAUGUGGGAUGGAGAGGGAGAGGAAG
ensembl:lncRNA